UUUAUUUGAGAACUACUUAUUGGACGAUUCAUAUGAUUGACCUAAUCUUAACACCGUAUGCCUAUGAGGUAACG
rnacentral:tRNA from 1 species